rnacentral:rRNA from 1 species
GUUAUAUGGUCAAGCGAAUAAGCGCACACGGUGGAUGCCUUGGCGGUCAGAGGCGAUGAAGGACGUGGCAGCCUGCGAAAAGUAUCGGGGAGCUGGCAACAAGCUUUGAUCCGGUAAUGUCCGAAUGGGGAAACCCACCCGCUUGCGGGUAUCCUGCAGUGAAUACAUAGCUGCUGGAAGCGAACCUGGUGAACUGAAAUAUCUAAGUAACCAGAGGAAAAGAAAUCAACCGAGAUUCCGUAAGUAGCGACGAGCGAACGCGGACUAGCCCUUAAGCUGGAUUGGUUCUAGGAAAACGCUCUGGAAAGAGCGGCCAUAGAAGGUGAUAGCCCUGUAUCUGAAAGGGCCAUUCCAGUGAAGACGAGUAGGGCGGGGCACGUGAAACCCUGUCUGAACAUGGGGGGACCAUCCUCCAAGGCUAAAUACUACUGACCGACCGAUAGUGAACCAGUACCGUGAGGGAAAGGCGAAAAGAACCCCGGAGAGGGGAGUGAAAUAGAACCUGAAACCGUGUGCGUACAAGCAGUAGGAGCUCCGCAAGGAGUGACUGCGUACCUUUUGUAUAAUGGGUCAGCGACUUACUGUUCGUGGCAAGCUUAACCGUAUAGGGGAGGCGAAGGGAAACCGAGUCUGAUAAGGGCGCAUAGUCGCGGGCAGUAGACCCGAAACCGGGUGAUCUAGUCAUGCCCAGGGUGAAGGUGCGGUAACACGCACUGGAGGCCCGAACCCACUCCCGUUGCAAAGGUAGGGGAUGAGGUGUGAUUAGGAGUGAAAAGCUAAUCGAACCCGGAGAUAGCUGGUUCUCCUCGAAAGCUAUUUAGGUAGCGCCUCAUAUGUAUCCUCUCGGGGGUAGAGCACUGUUAUGGCUAGGGGGUCAUCGCGACUUACCAAACCAUUGCAAACUCCGAAUACCGAGACGGACUGUAUGGGAGACACACGGCGGGUGCUAACGUCCGUCGUGAAAAGGGAAACAACCCAGACCCACAGCUAAGGUCCCAAAUUCACUGCUAAGUGGAAAACCAUGUGGAAAGGCACAGACAGCCAGGAGGUUGGCUUAGAAGCAGCCACCCUUUAAAGAAAGCGUAAUAGCUCACUGGUCGAGUCGGUCUGCGGGGAAGAUUUAACGGGGCUAAGCAGUGAACCGAAGCUUGGGGUGCAUAACUUUGUUAUGCGCGGUAGAGGAGCGUUCCGUAAGCCGUUGAAGGUGGAUUGAGAAGUCUGCUGGAGGUAUCGGAAGUGCGAAUGCUGACAUGAGUAACGAUAAUGCGGGUGAAAAACCCGCACGCCGAAAGCCCAAGGUUUCCUUGCGCAACGUUAAUCGGCGCAGGGUGAGUCGGCCCCUAAGGCGAGGACGAAAGUCGUAGUCGAUGGGAAGCAGGUUAAUAUUCCUGCACCUCGCGUAAGUGCGAUGGAGGGACGGAGAAGGUUAGGUGUACCAGGCGUUGGUUGUCCUGGGGAAAGGCGGUAGGUUUGGAUCUUUGGCAAAUCCGGGAUCCUUUAAGACCGAGCACCGAGACGAGCCUUUAAGGCGAAGUCACUGAUACCACGCUUCCAGGAAAAGCUCCUAAGCUUCAGCUUACGCAGACCGUACCGUAAACCGACACAGGUGGGUAGGAUGAGAAUUCUCAGGCGCUUGAGAGAACUCGGGUGAAGGAACUAGGCAACAUGGCACCGUAACUUCGGGAGAAGGUGCACCCUUUUUGGUGGCUCGUGCGAGCUAUAGCUGAAGAGGGUCGCAGUAACCAGGCCGCUGCGACUGUUUAUCAAAAACACAGCACUCUGCAAACACGAAAGUGGACGUAUAGGGUGUGACGCCUGCCCGGUGCUGGAAGGUUAAUUGAUGGGGUCAGCCGCAAGGCGAAGCUCUUGAUCGAAGCCCCAGUAAACGGCGGCCGUAACUAUAACGGUCCUAAGGUAGCGAAAUUCCUUGUCGGGUAAGUUCCGACCUGCACGAAUGGCGUAACGACAGCGGCGCUGUCUCCACCCGAGACUCAGUGAAAUUGAAAUCGCUGUGAAGAUGCAGCGUUCCCGUGGCAAGACGGAAAGACCCCGUGAACCUUUACUAUAGCUUUACACUGAACGUUGAGUUCGUCUGUGUAGGAUAGGUGGGAGGCUAUGAAACUGUGGCGCUAGCUGCAGCGGAGCCAUCCUUGAAAUACCACCCUGUCGUGCUUGACGUUCUAACCUGGGCCCAUUAUCUGGGUCGGGGACCGUGUAUGGUGGGUAGUUUGACUGGGGCGGUCUCCUCCUAAAGAGUAACGGAGGAGCUCGAAGGUACGCUCAGCGCGGUCGGACAUCGCGCACUGUGUGCAAAGGCAUAAGCGUGCUUGACUGCAAGAUCGACGGAUCAAGCAGGUAGGAAACUAGGACUUAGUGAUCCGGUGGUUCUGUAUGGAAGGGCCAUCGCUCAACGGAUAAAAGGUACUCCGGGGAUAACAGGCUGAUACCGCCCAAGAGUUCAUAUCGACGGCGGUGUUUGGCACCUCGAUGUCGGCUCAUCACAUCCUGGGGCUGUAGUCGGUCCCAAGGGUAUGGCUGUUCGCCAUUUAAAGUGGUACGCGAGCUGGGUUCAGAACGUCGUGAGACAGUUCGGUCCCUAUCUGCCAUGGGCGUUGGAGAUUUGAGAGGGGCUGCUCCUAGUACGAGAGGACCGGAGUGGACGAACCUCUGGUGUUCCGGUUGUCACGCCAGUGGCAUUGCCGGGUAGCUAUGUUCGGAAGCGAUAACCGCUGAAAGCAUCUAAGCGGGAAGCGCGCCUCAAGAUGAGAUCUCCCGGGGCACAAGCCCCCUGAAGGAACCAUGUAGACUACGUGGUUGAUAGGUCAGGUGUGUAAGUACAGCAAUGUAUUGAGCUAACUGAUACUAAUGAUCCGUGCGGCUUGACCAUAUAACCU